rnacentral:rRNA from 1 species
UAAGGAAUAUUGCUCAAUGGGAGAAAUCCUGAAGCAGCAACGCCGCGUGGAGGAUGAAGGGUUUUUAACUUGUAAACUCCUGUAAAGAAGGAAAAAAUUCCCAUUAGAUGGGAAAUGAUGGUACUUCUGGAGUAAGCCCCGGCUAACUACGUGCCAGCAGCCGCGGUAAUACGUAGGGGGCAAGCGUUGUCCGGAUUUACUGGGUGUAAAGGGUGCUCAGGCGGAUUUGUAAGUCAGAGGUGAAAUCUCACAGCUUAACUGUGAAACUGCCUUUGAUACUGCAAAGCCUAGAGUAUGGAAGAGAGUGAUGGAAUAUCUGGUGUAGCAGUGAAAUGCGUAGAUAUCAGAUAGAACACCAAUGGCGAAGGCAGUCACUUGGUCCAUAACUGACGCUAAAGCACGAAAAGCGUGGGUAGCAAAACAGGAUUAGAUACCCUGGUAGUCCACGCCCUAAACGAUGAAUACUAGAUGUUGGCUUCGCAUGAAGUCAGUAUCUGAGCUAACGCAUUAAGUAUUCCACCUGGGAAGUACGAUCGCAAGGUUGAAACUUAAAUGAAUUGACGGGGUCAUAGCUGUUUCCUG